rnacentral:misc_RNA from 1 species
CAACAGGCUAUCACGCAACUCUGGAGACAAGGAAUUCAAGAUCCAAGAUGUGACCAUAUCAUCACAUCUUUCCCACUGCAUGAAGUUAGGAUCAGUAGAUAUAGGCUUCACAAUUGCUCCAUUAAUAAAGCCUGUUUUGCUUUUAACUGAUAAUGCUCUGAGGACUGCUCUUCGCCAAGAUCUGUAACCUGUACCAUCGAAAACUCCAGGUAACAAUGAUGAUCCUGCAUUCUCUGAAG